CCUACGGGCGGCAGCAGUGGGGAAUAUUGGACAAUGGGGGCAACCCUGAUCCAGCCAUGCCGCGUGUGUGAAGAAGGCCCUCGGGUUGUAAAGCACUUUCAGUGAGGAAGAACGCCUUGUGGUUAAUACCCAUUAGGAAAGACAUCACUCACAGAAGAAGCACCGGCUAACUCCGUGCCAGCAGCCGCGGUAAUACGGAGGGUGCGAGCGUUAAUCGGAAUUACUGGGCGUAAAGCGCGCGCAGGCGGCUUGAUAAGCCGGUUGUGAAAGCCCCGGGCUCAACCUGGGAACGGCAUCCGGAACUGUCAAGCUUGAGUGCAGGAGAGGAAGGUAGAAUUCCAGGUGUAGCGGUGAAAUGCGUAGAGAUCUGGAGGAAUACCAGUGGCGAAGGCGGCCCUCUGGACUGACACUGACGCUGAGGUGCGAAAGCGUGGGUAGCAAACAGGAUUAGAUACCCCUGUAGUC
rnacentral:rRNA from 1 species